ensembl:lncRNA
AUGGCUCGUGGCACAAAACAUUGGAUAUACCAGCUUUGGGGAGCCAGGCUUGGGAAAACAUCUUCACCCAGUUUUCAGAGAAGGGCACAACUAAGCUUCAGUGCUGAGGCACCAUUCCGAGGAACGUGUAGAACGUGGCUUCCACACAAUGAUCAUGCCAUCCCCACUAAAACAAGCAGUGGCUCAGGAGAUCUUAAUCCACUUGCAGUUGUGAGUUGACAUUUAAGAAUCUUCUCUCCCUUUAAAACCAUCAAUCAAAAGUAUUUACAGAAUCAUGACUCACGAUUCUAUGAAUCAAAAGUAUUUGCAGAUUUAGGAAAUUGUCACUAAACAGACCUGGCCAGGAACUGGAUUUUCUGUUUCACAGAAUUUUUUCCCAUUUUCAAUUUUUUCCCAUUUAAACCCAAUAUAUUUUGUUGUUCUGUUGCUGCAUUACACUUCCUAGAAUUUUGAUUUCUUUUAUUCUUCUAAAUAACACACUUCACAUUUAAAAAAUUUGUAAAAAUGGUCAAAAUAUUCUUUUCUGGACUUUUUAAUGCUUUAUCAGUUCUCCUUUGAACAAACUUACAUCAACUUAGCAUAUUUUUCAAAGCACUUCAAUUUUGACAGAAAUAAUGCUGCAUUAAGAAAAAGAAUCUCUAAAAAGAUACACUAAAUAUCCCAUCUGCUGUACUUACCAUACACCUUUCUAUUUCUUUCUCUAAAUUUACAGUUCCUAGAUAGAUUCAUAAGCACCCAGAACAGAGGCAUGAAAGUGAUAGCAGUCAUUCUGGAAAGCUUUGGUUCAAGAUGUUUUUUAUGGCUUCAUUAGUUAUUUCUUUAAAGAAAUUAUUGGUACUGUUGCUCUAGUAGCUAUUUAUAUCUGGAUGAAAAGUGCCAGGGAAAAAAGAAAGCCCAGCUGUGCUCGAGAAAAUUUUAAAAUCCAUAGCAGUUUUGAGAGUCACUGCAGAUCAGUGACCCACUGAAAGGAAUCAUUAAUAAGCUUCUUCCCUUCCCUUUAAGUAUUUUCUUUAUGAGAGGAGGUUUUUAAAGCCCCCAUUACGAGAUAGAAAUAUUGAAGGUCUUUUGCAUGUGCUAAGCCAAAUGAGAGCUGCUCUUGGAUACAGGCACAUCUCUGCUUAGCUCUGUAGACUUCAAACCCUUUUCAUGUCAGUCUGUACCUUAGCACAUUAGGUUCCAUCUCUGUGGGGAGGGUGGCACUGAAGCUCCUGAUGCAGCAUUUCUUAACCAAUAAUCUAAAUUAAUGAGAUGACUUGAAUCAAGGAGCUCUAAAGCCAUUAAGAAUUUACACAUAUUCACUAUUCCUUUAAAGGACUAAUUGUUUGACUCAUGACUUGUAUUUUAGCUUGAAGAGUGGCAGAUCAUUUUUGGACCUUUGAAUUUUGAUCCAGAGAUUAGACAUUCAGAAUGCACUGGAAAUCUCUUAAUUUACCCAACUGAAUUAAAAAAGAUGCAUGUACAGCAUUUAUGUAGUGUUUUGACAGACUUUAUUUUCUGCUUAAGUGAUUCAGUUUCCCCUGGAUACAUAUGGCCCUCUCUUUGUUAUGCAGAACUGGAAUUGCACAGAAAGAAUGUGAGGUUAUUGGUUAUUGGCUAAGUUGCAAUACAUUCAAUAAACCAGUAAUUUGGAUAAAUCA